rnacentral:rRNA from 1 species
AUGGCAGCUGCGAGGCUGGGUCUGCCGCGGUUGAUGCUGGCGAUGCUUGUACUGGUGGCAUUGCUCGGUGUCGGCGUCGACGGGAGGAACCACGUACACAAGAAGCCUCCUCGUGCGGGCGCUAGCUCUCGGCACAGCAGGGUCGGCGCGAAGGUGGGCACGGUGGCGUCGUCGCCGGCCGUUCCACCGGACGACGACGCGACGGCUCCCGCGCCGCCGCCGGGCGGCAUUGUCCCGUCUGACCCCGCCACGCCGUUCCGGCCGGAGCCGUGCGUGUUCGACGUCCGGGCGUACGGCGCGACGGGGGAGAGCACGGCGGACGACACGGAGGCCUUCCGGGCGGCGUGGAAGGCGGCCUGCGCCGUCGAGUCGGCCGUGCUGCUGGUGCCGUCCGACGGCACCUUCACCAUCUCCACCACCACCUUCUCCGGGCCGUGCAAGCCCGGCCUCGUGUUCCAAGUGGACGGGGUGCUGAUGCCGCCGGACGGGCCGGACUGCUGGCCUCCGUCGGACAACCGGCGGCAGUGGCUGAUCUUCUCCAACCUGGACGGCCUGACGCUGCGCGGCGCCGGCACCAUCGAAGGGAACGGCGAGGAGUGGUGGAACCUCCCCUGCAAGCCCCACAGGGGUCCCAACGGGUCCACGCUGCACGGGCCGUGCGACAGCCCCACGCUGAUCAGGUUCUUCGAGAGCAGCAACCUGGUGGUGCGGGGCCUGAGGGUGGAGAACAGCCCCGAGUUCCACUUCCGGUUCGACGGCUGCAGCGACGUGCUCGUCGACGGCCUCUUCAUCAGGUCCCCGGCCAACAGCCCCAACACCGACGGCAUCCACGUCGAGAACACGGAGCGUGUCGGCAUCUACAACUCCAAGAUCAGCAACGGCGAUGAUUGCAUCUCCAUCGGGACCGGGAGCUACGACGUGGACAUACAGAACGUAACGUGCGGCCCUGGGCACGGCAUAAGCAUCGGCAGCCUGGGCGUGCACAACUCGCAGGCGUGCGUGGCGAACGUGACGGUGCGGAACGCGGUGAUCCGGAACUCGGACAACGGGCUGCGGAUCAAGACGUGGCAGGGCGGCAUGGGGUCGGUCUCCGGCAUCGCCUUCGACGGGGUGACCAUGGAGAACGUGCGCAACUGCAUCAUCAUCGACCAGUACUACUGCCAGGACAAGCGGUGCAUGAACCAGUCCACGGCCGUGCACGUCACCGACGUCUCCUACGCCAACGUCCGGGGCUCCUACGACGUGCGCAGCGCGCCCAUCCACUUCGCCUGCAGCGACACCGUGCCCUGCACCAACGUCACCAUGGCCGAGGUCGAGCUGCUGCCCUUCAGCGGCGAGCUCGUCGACGACCCCUACUGCUGGAGCGCCUACGGGGCGCAGCAGACGCCCACCAUCCCGCCCGUCUCCUGCCUGCAGGACGGCGUCCCGGAGUCCCUCCUCGACAACCCGGACCUCAAGUGCCGAUGA